rnacentral:tRNA from 1 species
AACUAAUGAACUUGUAAAAGUAUAUAUUUUGAAAAUAUAAAAAAGAAUAAACCUUCUAUUAGUUU